AACGAACGCUGGCGGCGUGCCUAACACAUGCAAGUCGAACGGAACCAAGGGGCUUGCUCCUUGGUUUAGUGGCGCACGGGUGAGUAACGCGUGGAUAAUCUGCCCUGGUAUCCGGGAUAACAUUUCGAAAGGAGUGCUAAUACCGGAUAAGCCCACGGGGUCUUCGGACCUUGCGGGAAAAGGUGGCCUCUGAAUAUGCUACUGUAUCAGGAUGAGUCCGCGUCCCAUUAGCUAGUUGGCGGGGUAAUGGCCCACCAAGGCAUCGAUGGGUAGCUGGUCUGAGAGGAUGAUCAGCCACACUGGAACUGAGACACGGUCCAGACUCCUACGGGAGGCAGCAGUGGGGAAUUUUGCGCAAUGGGGGAAACCCUGACGCAGCAACGCCGCGUGAGUGAUGAAGGCCUUCGGGU
rnacentral:rRNA from 1 species